UGUUCCGUUCCUCUUCUGGCUACGGUUCGUCGUCGUUGGAUCGCAGCCGUGGUCGCCGCCGCCGCCGCCGCAGCGACUCUCUUCUCCCAGGCCAACGAACGGAUAAACUCGUUCCCCUCUCUCUCUCUCUCUCUCUCGCGUUCGUAAACUCUGUCCUGUUUUCGCUUGAUCAUCUUACUCCGCUGGUGCAGGGUACGAUUCGCUGUGCGAUACGUGUGCGGACGUAACGUACACCGUGUAUGUAUACGUCGGACGGACCGACGUGACGGAAAAACUCGCUAAUGGAUGAGACGCGAUCCCCGGGCUCGUCAUCGUCGCGUAUAUACAUAGACUUGCCAAAAGAAAUCGAGAGGCUCUCGAAUCCAUGCGUCGCGCUUUGGUCUUUACAGGUACCUACACCUAUAGAGUAAAUCAACAGAUCCUUUUCGACGCGGGCGGCAGUUCCACUCCUUGAUGUACGGCCAAGGGGAGUCCCCCCCAUGUGACCGACAUGUAAGGUAGUCGGGACCGGGGGGAUAUUAUAAAGUAUACUUGGCGAUGACGUAGCCGGCACCGUAAGAAGAGAGUCUCGGAUCGAGGUGUCCGUUUGUCCACGUGUGUGCGUCUGUAUGUAUACUCGUACGUAUAAAUACACGUAUCGCAACGGUGGAACACAUUCGGUGCAGUAUGGAAGCCGUGGUUUAAUCAGUGCGUACCAUCUGCCUACCCCGUCGAGAUCUGUUAUACGUAUGAGAAAUGAACCGACGAUCACGAUCCAUGAUUGGCAAUGAAUAUACCAUUCAACGAAUCAUCGAAUUGACCAUCGGCACGAGUACCUACGCAGAAUUUUUUCAUAAUUAUUGCCUCGAGAUUGGUAAAAAAUAUUUCAGUACACCGAUUUUACUGUUUCGCUAACGAUAAGUACUUGCAAUACAUGUGGAUGUAAGCUAUAUUAUCAGUGAAAGCACAAAAAAGUUUAAUCCAAUUUGCACAGCUAUCGGUUCAUGACUUUUGGUCGGGGAUAGAUUAUUUUUUGUCAUUCAGUCGAUGUACUGUGCUGAAUCGGUUUCGAACUUCGCAAUCUGGAUCGCGGAAUCGGAUUCAACGACCUCGAAAAUAUCUCGAUAUCGAACUUGACAGAAAUCAGUUGGAUAAUUCCCAAUGUAAGAAACGGAAAUUCAUGUAUCGGCUUCCGAUCGACUGGCUAAGGAUUAAUGGGGUAUAAUUUUCUAAUAACUCAUCUUCACUAUUACAGGCGUUGAAGGUUCCUUAAUAGAUUUUAUCCAUAGCCCGCACAGAAGGUGAAGAAUGAUAA